CUCCCGUGCCCGCUGAGCUCUGGGAGGCAGUGGCUGCUAAAAUACAGAUUCCUAGGCCCCAGACCAUCAUCCUGAAGCCAAAUUGCCAGAGUCAGGCCCAGGACUCUAGAGUUUCUUUGAGGGUCUCCCAGACACUUCUGGUGAGCAGCCAGGCUUGGAAACUCCUGUGCAGCCCACCCAGCCCCAGGAGAAAAAGGAGAGAGAUUUGGAUACAGUGACACAGACUCUCAAGGAGAAGGCCCUAUGACCACAGAGACAGAGACUGGAGUGACGCAUCUAGAAGCCAAGGACCACCAAGGAUCGCAGAAACCAUGAGAAGCUGAAAUAGACAGGCAAGGAUUCUCCCCUAGAAACUUCAGAGAGAGCAUAGCCCUGUGGACAUCUUGAUUUUGGACUUCGAGCCUCCAGAACCAUGAGCGAAUAAAUUUCUGUUGUCUUACACCC